CGGGGCGCAGCAGGUCCCCAGAGCAGGGGCGGGGGUGACUCUUGGGAGGAGGGGAGGGAGCCGGGCCGCCACGUCGCCGGCCCUGCGCAGGCUGCACGCUCCUCUCCGCCCAGUCCUCCCGGGCCUCCCCAUAGAAGAAUGUCUUUCCCUCAUCUACAGGGGAGAGUCGAAACUACUCCGCACGACCUCUGCCUCGCUCUCAUCUUUGCUCCCACCUCCCCCGGCCUGAGCCACGCCGAAGCACUUGUGGUCCUCUGAGUGCACAGGCUCACGUCUGCCUCUGUGGGCGUCAGGUGUCGGAUCCCACUCCCUCAGCUCCUAUGGACCCUUCCGGGCUCAGCUCCUUUCAAGGAUGCCUUCCUGGAUCCCACAGGCAAAAUGCAGAAACUGAGAAGAAAAGUGAUGGAAUGGCUUCCCUCACCUAAUAAGAAGCCACGGAGCUAAGAUUCAAAUGUGUGUUCCUGUCCAGAUGAGCCAUCAAACCUGGGCUUCUUUGCCUCCAGUGCUGGAGAAGUACAAGGCAUAUAACGGGUGCCAGUAAAUGUGACCCUGGACUAUAAGCUCCCUGAGGGCAAGGCAUUUGGACAACUUUAUUCACUACUGAGUUCUCACACUGAAAGCGGUGCCUUGUGCAGAGGAGGCAGCCAGUAAUCAUUUUCAGACUAAAUAAAUGGAUUUUGCAUUCAUGGCAGGGUUGCCAGCUCUGCCAUUUACUAGCUGUGACCGCAGGCAAGUUACUGAGCUGGAUCGUGUUUCCACAGUUUUCUCCUCUGUAUAUUGCUGUCAGUGGUGAUUCCCUCCCAAUAACUGCUCCAUUACCUACCUUCCUCCAGCUUUAUGAACCCUCUGUCCCAGGCUUACUUGUUUGUACUCUACACUACUUAAAACAGAACAAAAUCCAAAACAUACAACUACAACAACAAAUGGACCUGUGCUUUCUAGAGCCCCAUAAGACAUUGUCCUUAGUGAUGCAAAUAUAUGCCAAGAUUAAUGUGUUCUCUUCAUCAGAGGGCUUUGCACUUCAGCAAGUGCCUUCUGGAAACAUGGUAAUGUAAUCCAUGCAUAAUUGCCUACUAGUAGAAUUAUAGCCAAACUAUAGGCAGUUCAUACCACUUGAGAAUAAAACUGUAUUACCUUGGCUCAGUGGAAACAAGAUGUGAUCGACUAGUGAUAGCUGCAUAGCGGUGCAAGGGGUUGUGGAGGCUUAAUUGCCAUCUUGGGCUAAACUGAUCUUCCUAUAUUUUACAGCUGGGGAAACUGAGGCUCCGGCAAGGAAAAAUGACUUGUUUAAAAUCAAAUAGCUAAUAGGUAUCAGAAGCAGCAUUCAAUUCCUGGUCGGUCUCAUUCAGAGUCCAGUGCCCUUGCCCUAGUUUUCUGACCUUUUCUUGGACCUUUUUGCAGCUUCAAGACAAAGCUUCUCCCCCUCCCCCACCACCCCAAAAAAAGAAAAGAAAAGAAAAAGAAAAGGGGAAGAGGACAUCUAUGGAGCAUCUUCCCUGGGCUGGGCACUCUCUGUGAGACACUUUACAAACAAAAGACACUUCCCGUUGAUCCUCAUUAUAGCCUUAUGAGGUGGGCAACAUUCCCCCCAUUUUACAGAUGAGGAAACAGAGUCUCAGCCCCAUGAUGUAAUUCACCUAAGACCCUAGAGCUGGAGAGAGAAGUCUGUAUCCUCCUCCCCACCCCCGCUGAGGAUUUGAACCCAUACUCCAGGGCUAAAUAGUCUU